UACGUAGGGGGCGAGCGUUGUCCGGAAUCAUUGGGCGUAAAGCGCGUGUAGGCGGUCCGGUAAGUCCGCUGUGAAAGUCGGGGGCUCAACCCUCGGAUGCCGGUGGAUACUGUCGGGCUUGAGUACGGAAGAGGCGAGUGGAAUUCCUGGUGUAGCGGUGAAAUGCGCAGAUAUCAGGAGGAACACCAAUGGCGAAGGCAGCUCGCUGGGACGUGACUGACGCUGAGACGCGAAAGCGUGGGGAGCAAACAGG
rnacentral:rRNA from 1 species